UGGCGCACGGGUGAGUAACACGUGAAUAAUCUACCUCCGAGUGGGGAAUAACUUAGGGAAACCUGAGCUAAUACCGCAUAACACUUACGAGUCAAAGCAGCAAUGCGCUUGGAGAGGAGUUCGCGGCAGAUUAGUUAGUUGGCGGGGUAAUGGCCCACCAAGACGAUGAUCUGUAUCCGGCCUGAGAGGGCGCACGGACACACUGGAACUGAAACACGGUCCAG
rnacentral:rRNA from 1 species